AGCAGCCGCGGUAAUUCCAGCUCCAAUAGCGUAUAUUAAAGUUGUUGUAGUUAAAAAGCUCGUAGUUGAAUUUCGGAAUCAAUUUAAUGAUCAUGCCGUUGGUAUGCAUUGUUAUAAUUGGUUUCUCACCUUCUAAAGAACUGUAAUGCCAUUAAUUUGGUGUCACGGGGAAUUAGGACUGUUACCUUGAAAAAAU
rnacentral:rRNA from 1 species